rnacentral:lncRNA from 1 species
AGUCAGUCUUCUGCUAGCAGCCUUCAGAUGAAGAUGGUGAACACUCAGCUCCUCACGCACCAUGCCUGCCUGGAUGCUGCCAUGCUCCCUUGAUGAUAGUGGACUGAACCUCUGAACCUGUAAGCCAGCCCCAAUUAAAUGUUGUCCUUUAUAAGA